rnacentral:rRNA from 1 species
CACUCCUACGGGAGGCAGCAGUGGGGAAUAUUGCACAAUGGGCGCAAGCCUGAUGCAGCCAUGCCGCGUGUAUGAAGAAGGCCUUCGGGUUGUAAAGUACUUUCAGCAGUGAGGAAGGUGGGUAUGUUAAUAGCAUACUCAUUUGACGUUAGCUGCAGAAGAAGCACCGGCUAACUCCGUGCCAGCAGCCGCGGUAAUACGGAGGGUGCGAGCGUUAAUCGGAAUUACUGGGCGUAAAGCGCAUGCAGGUGGUUUGUUAAGUCAGAUGUGAAAGCCCGGGGCUCAACCUCGGAAUUGCAUUUGAAACUGGCAAACUAGAGUACUGUAGAGGGGGUAGAAUUUCAGGUGUAGCGGUGAAAUGCGUAGAGAUCUGAAGGAAUACCGGUGGCGAAGGCGGCCCCCUGGACAGAUACUGACACUCAGAUGCGAAAGCGUGGGGAGCAAACAGGAUUAGAUAACCCUGGUAG